rnacentral:lncRNA from 1 species
UUACAGCAUCUGUGCUGUUACGUGACACUUUCUAAGGCUUCCAUUGACUCUCUAAAGCGUUCAGAAAACGGAAUGACGCGUCUCCUGUCUCUGGGCAAAGUACAGGAGCAGAGUUUGUAAGUGGACUGCCUGGGGACAGUGAGACUGGAGAUGCGCGGUCACGAGACCUCACCAUUUUUUUAUUUUCCUCUUUGAAUGAAUACAACGUUGUCCGGUUGGAAUAUUAUCGCUAUUUUACGAGAAAAAUAGCAUAAAAAUGAAUUUUUAACAGCGUUUGACAUGCUUCUAAGUACGGUAAUGGAAUAUUUCGAAAAAAUUUGGUCACGAAAUGCGCUCGCACGUUACCCUUCGGAUAGUGACCUGAACGCACGAACAAAACGGAUGUAUUGGGAUAUAACUAUGGAUUAUUUGGAACCAAAACAAUAUUUGUUGUUGAAGUAGAAGUCCUGGGAGUGCAUUCUGACGAAGAACAGCAAAGCGCUCAGGCUGGUGACAUUCCGAAGCAGAGAGAGGAGUACGAAAGGAUGAAACAAGAUCUCCAACAUAAGGUCCAGGAGGUGGAGGAAGAGCUGGCUAUACAGAACCAGGUACAAGCAGCAGCUAUGUGUGGGUGUGGUGUGAGAGAAGGUUCUGGAGCAGAGGAGAAUCUAGAGACGCAGUGAAGACAACGAG